rnacentral:rRNA from 1 species
GUGGGGAAUAUUGCACAAUGGGCGAAAGCCUGAUGCAGCAACGCCGCGUGAAGGAAGAAGGGUUUCGGCUCGUAAACUUCUAUCAACAGGGACGAAAAAAAUGACGGUACCUGAAUAAGAAGCCCCGGCUAACUACGUGCCAGCAGCCGCGGUAAUACGUAGGGGGCAAGCGUUAUCCGGAAUUACUGGGUGUAAAGGGAGAGUAGGCGGCAUGGUAAGUUAGAUGUGAAAGCCCGAGGCUUAACCUCGGGAUUGCAUUUAAAACUAUCAAGCUAGAGUACAGGAGAGGUAAGUGGAAUUCCUAGUGUAGCGGUGAAAUGCGUAGAUAUUAGGAAGAACACCAGUGGCGAAGGCGACUUACUGGACUGAAACUGACGCUGAGGCUCGAAAGCGUGGGGAGCGAACAGGAUUAGAAACCCUAGUAGUCC